GACGAACGCUGGCGGCGUGCUUAACACAUGCAAGUCGAACGGAAAGGCCCUGCUUGCAGGGUACUCGAGUGGCGAACGGGUGAGUAACACGUGGGUGAUCUGCCCUGCACUUCGGGAUAAGCCUGGGGAACUGGGUCUAAUACCGGAUAGGAGCCAUUUUUAGUGUGAUGGUUGGAAAGUUUUUUCGGUGUAGGAUGAGCUCGCGGCCUAUCAGCUUGUUGGUGGGGUAAUGGCCUACCAAGGCGGCGACGGGUAGCCGGCCUGAGAGGGUGGACGGCCACAUUGGGACUGAGAUACGGCCCAGACGCCUACGGGAGGCAGCAGUGGGGAAUAUUGCACAAGGGGCGCAAGCCUGAUGCAGCGACGCCGCGUGGGGGAUGACGGCCUUCGGGUUGUAAACUCCUUUCGCUAGGGACGAAGCUUUUUGUGACGGUACCUAGAUAAGAAGCACCGGCUAACUACGUG
rnacentral:rRNA from 1 species